rnacentral:rRNA from 1 species
GGAGACCCUUAGGAAACUAGGGGUGCUUCCAUCUGGAAGAAUCUGGAGACAGGUGCUGCAUGGCUGUCGUCAGCUCGUGUCGUGAGAUGUUGGGUUAAGUCCCGCAACGAGCGCAACCCUUGCCUUUAGUUGCCAGCAGUUCGGCUGGGCACUCUAAAGGGACUGCCGGUGUUAAACCGGAGGAAGGUGGGGAUGACGUCAAGUCCUCAUGGCCUUUAUGACCAGGGCUACACACGUACUACAAUGGCCGAUACAAAGGGCAGCGACACUGCGAGGUGAAGCCAAUCCCGUAAAAUCGGUCUCAGUCCGGAUUGGAGUCUGCAACUCGACUCCAUGAAGUUGGAAUCGCUAGUAAUCGUGGAUCAGCAUGCCACGGUGAAUACGUUCCCGGGCCUU